rnacentral:rRNA from 1 species
UGAGGAAUAUUGCGCAAUGGGGGAAACCCUGACGCAGCAACGCCGCGUGGGUGAAGAGGGCCUUCGGGUCGUAAAGCCCUUUCGGACGGGACGAACGCUCCGCGGUGACAACCCGCGGAGCCUGACGGUACCGUAAGAAGAAGCACCGGCUAACUCCGUGCCAGCAGCCGCGGUAAUACGGAGGGUGCAAGCGUUGUUCGGAAUUACUGGGCGUAAAGCGCGUGUAGGCGGCCUUGCAAGCCAGACGUGAAAGCCCCCGGCUUAACCGGGGAAGUGCGUCUGGAACUGCUCGGCUCGAGUACGGGAGAGGGAGGCGGAAUUCCCAGUGUAGAGGUGAAAUUCGUAGAUAUUGGGAGGAACACCGGUGGCGAAAGCGGCCUCCUGGACCGAUACUGACGCUGAGACGCGAAAGCGUGGGGAGCAAACAGGAUUAGAUACCCUGGUAGUCCACGCGGUAAACGAUGGGCACUAGGUGUGGGGGGUAUCCACUCCUCCCGUGCCGCAGCUAACGCAUUAAGUGCCCCGCCUGGGGAGUACGGCCGCAAGGUUA